rnacentral:sRNA from 1 species
CAGUUUCUAUUUGCUGUGGAGAUAUAAAAUGUAUAUGUGAGUCUAUUCCUCCCGCUGUUACUAUAAGUCCUUCUCCAGCUAAAGCUUCUGUUGCUGCCCCAACUAUCAUAUUAGGAGUUACUCCAUCCAUUAUAGAUGGAUUUCCAGCCUUACCUAUGCCAAUUAUUUUUCCAUCCUUUAUUCCUAUAUCAGCUUUUACAAUUCCCCAGUAAUCUAUUAUGAGAGCAUUGGUUAUAACUAAGUCAAGAACACCUUCAUCUCUAUCUGCUACUGCCGAUUGUCCCAUACCAUCUCUUAG